AUAAAUAUUGAAGUCGUAGCACAGUAUUCAUCGUAUAGGAGUUUAGUCUUGAUUUGUUAUUUAAGUAAACUUUCAAUUGAAAGCGUUACAACAUGUUCAGUUAGAGUAAGAAAUAUGGUAAUGAGUGUUAGUGGAAGCAUUAAUUGAUCAACGAGAAAUACACGUCAGCAGUAUAUACAGAUCUCGAUUUUAUGGUAUUCUGGAAGUCGAUAUGAUUUUACAUUUAUCGGUCGCGGGUUUUUUUACAACACUUCGUGCACGGUGAGCACAGUACAUGGUAGCAGAUCAUCUUCUAAGGUUGUUUAUUCGCAGUGAUAAUUUGCCGAUAUGUGGUACUUGAAAAUUUCGCUUAAAGCAUUGAUCACGUGCAUGCCCUAAUCUCCCACAAAUUGUGCAUUUUAAUUGGAGCCGUUGUUGCAGUAGUUGUGCAUGAUUUGGUACGCGGUUACUAGCGAGUGGAUUUUGUCUUGGUGAGAUGACGACGGUUGAUAUGAUCGAGGUGUCAUCUGUGCUGGCCGAAAACGUAACGGUGGCUGUGAAUCUGGUCGCGUUGAUACAUGAUUUUGUGCUUGACACGUUCAUGUUUCUUCUUCCACCUCUAAGGUAAUUUUACGAGAUAUGGGUCGCGGGUAUUUAUUGUGAAUGGCAUAUCGCAAUUCAUUCAACUGUUGACGAUACGAUUAUAUUAAUUCGGUAAAUCCUUGUUUAAUGUUAUAUAAUUUACAUCCUGUAUUUGAAAUAAUUACAGGUGGGGAAACGUGCAAACGUAAAUUUUCCUAUAAUUUCUGCCUGAUUUGUUAUC